GACGAACGCUGGCGGCGUGCUUAACACAUGCAAGUCGAACGGAAAGGCCCCCACUUUUUUGGUGGGGGUGCUCGAGUGGCGAACGGGUGAGUAACACGUGGGUGAUCUGCCCUGUACUUCGGGAUAAGCUUGGGAAACUGGGUCUAAUACCGGAUAGGACCAUGGUUUAGUGUCUCAUGGUGGAAAAAUUAUUGUUUUGGUGCAGGAUGAGCUCGCGGCCUAUCAGCUUGUUGGUGGGGUAAUGGCCUACCAAGGCGUCGACGGGUAGCCGGCCUGAGAGGGUGGACGGCCACAUUGGGACUGAGAUACGGCCCAGACUACUACGGGAGGCAGCAGUGGGGAAUAUUGCACAAUGGGCGCAAGCCUGAUGCAGCGACGCCGCGUGGGGGAUGACGGCCUUCGGGUUGUAAACUCCUUUCGUUAGGGACGAAGCCGCACCUUUUUUGGGUGUGGUGACGGUACCUUUGUGAAGAAGCACCGGCUAACUACGUG
rnacentral:rRNA from 1 species